rnacentral:rRNA from 1 species
UGGGGAAUAUUGCACAAUGGGGGAAACCCUGAUGCAGCGACGCCGCGUGAGUGAAGAAGUAUCUCGGUACGUAAAGCUCUAUCAGCAGGGAAGAAAAAAAGUCCUUUGGACUUUGGACGGUACCUGACUAAGAAGCCCCGGCUAACUACGUGCCAGCAGCCGCGGUAAUACGUAGGGGGCAAGCGUUAUCCGGAAUUACUGGGUGUAAAGGGAGCGUAGACGGUGAAGUAAGUCUGGAGUGAAAGGCGGGGGCCCAACCCCCGGACUGCUCUGGAAACUAUUUGACUGGAGUGCAGGAGAGGUAAGCGGAAUUCCUAGUGUAGCGGUGAAAUGCGUAGAUAUUAGGAGGAACACCAGUGGCGAAGGCGGCUUACUGGACUGUAACUGACGUUGAGGCUCGAAAGCGUGGGGAGCAAACAGG